rnacentral:rRNA from 1 species
ACGGCUCAGUAACACGUGGACAACCUACCCUGAGGUCGGGGAUAAACCCGGGAAACUGGGUAUAAUACCCGAUAGAUCUAGAUCGCUGGAAUGCUUUUAGGUCUAAAGUUCCGACGCCUCAGGAUGGGUCUGCGGCCUAUCAGGGUAGUAGUGGGUGUAAAGUACCUACUAGCCUACGACGGGUACGGGUUGUGAGAGCAAGAGCCCGGAGAUGGAUUCUGAGACACGAAUCCAGGCCCUACGGGGUGCAGCAGGCGCGAAACCUUUACAAUGCUGGCAACAGCGAUAAGGGGACCUCGAGUGCUACGAUACAAUCGUGGCUGUCUAGUUGCCUAAAAAGCAAUUGAUAGCAAGGGCCGGGCAAGGCCGGUGCCAGCCGCCGCGGUAACACCGGCGGCUCGAGUGGUAACCGCUAUUAUUGGGUCUAAAGGGUCUGUAGCCGGCUUAGUUAGUCUCUUGAGAAAUCUGGCCGCUCAACGGUCAGGCGUUCAGGGGAUACUGCUAAAGCUCGAGACCGGGAGAGGUGAGAGGUACUUCAGGGGUAGGGGUGAAAUCUUGUAAUCCUUGAAGGACCACCAGUGGCGAAGGCGUCUCACCAGAACGGAUCUGACGGCAAGGGACGAAAGCUAGGGGCACGAACCGGAUUAGAUACCCGGGUAGUCCUAGCCGUAAACGAUACUCGCUAGGUGUCGGCCACGGUGCGACCGUGGUCGGUGCCGUAGGGAAGCCGUGAAGCGAGCCACCUGGGAAGUACGGCCGCAAGGCUGAAACUCAAAGGAAUUGGCGGGGGAGCAC